rnacentral:rRNA from 1 species
AAAAGAACCAACAGGGAUUGCCUCAGUAACGGCGAGUGAAGCGGCAAAAGCUCAAAUUUGAAAUCUGGCUCUCUCAGGGUCCGAGUUGUAAUUUGUAGAAGAUGUUUCGGGUGUGGUUCCGGUCUAAGUUCCUUGGAACAGGACGUCAUAGAGGGUGAGAAUCCCGUAUGUGACCGGUCGCCUUCGCCCAUGUGAAACUCUUUCGACGAGUCGAGUUGUUUGGGAAUGCAGCUCAAAAUGGGUGGUAUAUUUCAUCUAAAGCUAAAUAUUGGCCAGAGACCGAUAGCGCACAAGUAGAGUGAUCGAAAGAUGAAAAGCACUUUGGAAAGAGAGUUAAACAGUACGUGAAAUUGUUGAAAGGGAAGCGCUUGCAAUCAGACUUGCGCCUAGUUGAUCAUCUGGACUUCUGUCCCGUGCACUCGAUUAGGCUCAGGCCAGCAUCAGUUUGAGUGGUUGGAUAAAGGCUUAGGGAAUGUAGCCCCUCUCGGGGGGUGUUAUAGCCCUAGGUGCAAUGCAGCCUACUUGGACUGAGGACCGCGCUUCGGCUAGGAUGCUGGCGUAAUGGU